CUUGACCGGUAUUGNUAUGAAUAAGCANCGGCUAACUCCGUGCCAGCAGCCGCGGUAAUACGAGGGUGCAAGCGUAUCCGGAUUAUUAGGUUUAAAGGGUCCGCAGGCGGAAUAUUAAGUCAGUGGUGAAAGCUACAGCUCAACUGUAGAACUGCCAUUGAAACUGUUAUUCUUGAGUAUGGAUGAAGUGGGCGGAAUAUGUCAUGUAGCGGUGAAAUGCAUAGAUAUGACAUGGAACACCAAUUGCGAAGGCAGCUCACUAAACCAUUACUGACGCUCAUGGACGAAAGCGUGGGGAGCGAACAGGAUUAGAUACCCUGGUAGUCCACGCCGUAAACGAUGAUCACUAGAUGUUGGCGAUAUAAUGUCAGCGUUCAAGAGAAAUCGAUAAGUGAUCCACCUGGGGAGUACGUUCGCAAGAAUGAAACUCAAAGGAAUUGACGGGGGCCCGCACAAGCGGAGGAGCAUGUGGUUUAAUUCGAUGAUACGCGAGGAACCUUACCAAGGCUUAAAUGUAAUAUGACCGGUUGAGAGAUCAACCUUUUUUCGAACAGAUUACAAGGUGCUGCAUGGUUGUCGUCAGCUCGUGCCGUGAGGUGUCGGGUUAAGUCCCAUAACGAGCGCAACCCCUAUUUUUAGUUACCAGCGAGUAAUGUCGGGAACUCUAGAAAAACUGCCUGUGCAAACAGAGAGGAAGGUGGGGAUGACGUCAAAUCAUCACGGCCCUUAUGUCUUGGGCUACACACGUGCUACAAUGGUUACUACAAUGUGAUGCCAUCUGGUGACAGAGAGCUAAUCAAUAAAGGUAAUCUCAGUUCGGAUUGGAGUCUGCAACUCGACUCUAUGAAGUUGGAUUCGCUAGUAAUCGUAUAUCAGCCAUGAUACGGUGAAUACGUUCCCGGGCCUUGUACACGCCGCCCGUCAAGCCAUGGAAGUUUGGGGUACCUGAAGUCAGUAACCGCAAGGAACUGCCUAGGGUAAAACGAAUAACUAGGGCUAAGUCGUAACAAGGUAACCGU
rnacentral:rRNA from 1 species